rnacentral:misc_RNA from 1 species
UUGCUUGUUUUGAAGUCAAAGUGAUACAUGUGUUGGACGCAAGAGCCAAGCUGCUACGCGCCCUAACCCAGAACAACAACAACGUGAUACAUGUGGGAUAAAUAGGUCCUACAUAAGUUUUUCAGGCAUUGGCCUGAUGGUCUUUUUGUCCGAUCUCUGACCAUAUCUUACCUGGCUCUGGAUCCUCGGAACAAGGUCUGCAUAAUGUCUGCUAGUUUGAGCCGCUGUCUCAUGGCAGCUGUUCAGCUUCACCUUCAGCACAGGGCCCUCAGACUGUUGUCAUGUGCUGGAUCAAGCCAGUCAAAUUUGCUAGCUAAAUAUGGUUCUUAUACCAAUUGGUCAUGGAGAAGGUGGAAGACUACCAAUUCUAAAAUUCCUCAGAAGUCUGGAGGACCAGCAGAUGAGUCCAAAUCAGAGCUUCCCCACGUGAACGUGGGCACCAUCGGUCACGUAGACCACGGCAAGACGACGCUGACAGCGGCCAUUACACGUGUGCUGGGCGCGCACCAGCAGAGUGAGUACGUGCCGUUCGACCAGAUCGACCGCGCGCCGGAGGAGCGACGGCGGGGUGUCACCAUCAACGCGGCACACGUGCAGUACAGCAGCGGACGCCGCCACUACGCGCACACAGACUGCCCCGGACACGCCGACUAUGUGAAAAACAUGAUCUGUGGCACGUCUCAGAUGGAUGGCGCCAUCCUUGUGGUGGCUGCCAACGAUGGUCAGAUGCCGCAGACACGCGAACAUCUUCUGCUGGCGCGGCAGAUCGGUGUUGACAAGAUCGUCGUGUUUGUCAACAAAGCGGAUCUGGUGGACGAGGAGGUGCUGGAGCUGGUCGAGCUUGAGAUGCGCGAGCUGCUCGAUAAUUUCGGGUUUGACGGCUCAACCACGCCGUUUGUGAUCGGCUCGGCGCUGCAGGCGCUGAACGGCGGUGACGGGGAGCUCGGCGAACCCUCCAUUUGGCGGCUGGUGGAGGCCCUGGACGAGCACGUGCCUAUACCGGAGCGAGACCGAGCCGCGCCGUUCCUUAUGCCCGUCGAGAGUGGGUUCACCGUGCCCGGCCGCGGCACUGUGGUGGUCGGCACGCUCAAACAGGGCGUCCUGAAGCGACGCGUGGACGCCGAGCUGGUCGGUUUCGACACUCGCAUCAAGACGGUCGCCACCGAUAUCCAGGUGUUCAAGAAGUCGGUGCCGCAGAUCGAAGCCGGCGAGCACGCAGGUGUACUCCUGCGGGGAGUCCCCGUGUCUGCAGUGAAGCGUGGUAUGUCUCUGACGCCUCCCGGGGCGUUCGACACGUCUAACGUGCUGUGGGCUCGACUCUACCUCCUGGAGCGCAGCGAGGGCGGCCGUAGCAAACCCAUCACGUCCAGCUACGUACAGCAGCUGUUCUGCGAGACGUGGACGGUCGGCUGCCGGGUGAUGCUACCUCCCGGGACGGAGAUGAUGCUGCCCGGAGACGCCGGCCGGGUCAGUCUGCUGCUGCCGCGGCAGAUGCUGGCGAGGCGCGGUCACCAUUUCACACUCCGCGAGAACGGAGUCACCGUGGCGACUGGCGUGAUCACGGGCGUGAGGCCACCAGUGCGGGUGCUUGGCGUGGACAAAUUGAUAGAGGUGACGCCGGAGCAGAUUGACUUUGAGCCAGAUGAUUCGGCACCCGUCAGCUGAGUUAGAGAGUGGUGUGUGCGGUGUGGGAUGAGUGGAAAAAAUACGCAUGGGGCGACAUCUGUUCCAGCAAUGGUGGUGCCACCUAGUUACUUUGACAUGGUGUGUGGGUAGUAGCCCAAGACCGCAUUGUGGACAAGAAAAGAACAGAUGAAUGAAUAAGUGAAUAUCCAUGCUGCCGGUGACAAGGAUAGAGUUAUUGAUGUGUGAGUCUUUUAUGAAUCACCCGAUAUUGAGCCGUUUUGAUGGAUGUGUGCCGAAUUGUUCUUGUCAAUGAUGUUUUUUUUUGUGGCUGUAAGACCGUAUCUGUCGAUCUUGGUCCCUUUCGAGGUAUAAUAUAUUAAUUGGGAACGGUUG